rnacentral:rRNA from 1 species
GCUUCCCUCUGUCGGCGUGCCUAAUACAUGCAAGUCGAGCGAACGGACGAGAAGCUUGCUUCUCUGAUGUUAGCGGCGGACGGGUGAGUAACACGUGGAUAACCUACCUAUAAGACUGGGAUAACUUCGGGAAACCGGAGCUAAUACCGGAUGAUAUUUUGAACCGCAUGGUUCAAAAGUGAAAGACGGUCUUGCUGUCACUUAUAGAUGGAUCCGCGCUGCAUUAGCUAGUUGGUAAGGUAACGGCCUACCAAGGCAACGAUGCAUAGCCGACCUGAGAGGGUGAUCGGCCACACUGGAACUGAGACACGGUCCAGACUCCUACGGGAGGCAGCAGUAGGGAAUCUUCCGCAAUGGGCGAAAGCCUGACGGAGCAACGCCGCGUGAGUGAUGAAGGUCUUCGGAUCGUAAAACUCUGUUAUUAGGGAAGAACAUAUGUGUAAUUAACUGUGCCCAUCUUGACGGUACCUAAUCAGAAAGCCCCGGCUAACUACGUG